CAUCUUCUCUGCUGAUCUGAGGUUUUCUUUCUUAACCAGGAACCCUUGGAAGAACACGGAGACCCUCCCUUUACCACCUGUGAGGAGUCACCAUUCCAAACUGGCCACGACACCGGCCAGGAAGUGAGCUCAGACGAGCAACUGAGCGAGGAGGAGGACCUUGAGGAGCGCUCGACUGGAAGACUGUUCAGGGCAGUACCCUGCCAACAUCUACCUUCCGUUGCCCUCCUCGACACCAGUCCCCUCCCUCCCAUCCCUUCCUUCGACUCAAGCCCCGCCCUCCCACAACUUAGUUCCAGGCCCCCACUCUCCCACAACUUCGUUCCACACAAGCCCCCACCCGCCCCCCGCUUUGU